UUCCUGUAAAUCAAUAAGAAGUAAUUCCUGCCCAGUGACUAACGUUUAACGGCCGCGGUAUCCUAACCGUGCAAAGGUAGCAUAAUCACUUGCCCGUUAAUUGCGGGCUAGAAUGAAAGGACCAACGAAAUAAAAACUGUCUCUAUGAGUCUACCAAAAAUUAAUAUCUAACUGAAGAAUGUUAGAUCCUGCCGAAGGACAAGAAGACCCUAUAGAGCUUUAUCUUAAUGAGGGUAAACACCUUUCUAAGAUUCGGUUGGGGCGACCAGGGAAUAUAACUAAUCAUCCCAUUUCUUCCAGAUAUCUAAAUCUUACUACUCGACCCUUAAUCAAGAUCAUCAAAAUAAGCUACCUUAGGGAUAACAGGCUAAUCCUAUUAAAGAGUCCUUAUCGAUAAUAGGGUUUGGCACCUCGAUGUUGGCUUAGGGAAUCCAUACGGCGCAAAAGUCGUAUAAAGAUGGUUUGUUCAACCAAGAAUACCCUACAUGAGCUGAGUUCAGACCGGCGUAAGCCAGGUUAGUUUCUAUCCUCGGUGAUAACAUCUAUUUAUAGUACGAAAGGACCUAAAUAUGAAUAACAUUUAUACAUAAAGAAUACAUAUAAUAUAAGUUUAGUACAAAUAUACACCCACUAUG
rnacentral:rRNA from 1 species